GAACGCUGACAGAAUGCUUACCACAUGCAAGUCGACUCGAGUCUUCGGACUUGGGUGGCGCACGGGUGAGUAACGCGUAAAGAACUUGCCUCUUAGACCGGGACAACAUCUGGAAACGGAUGCUAAUACCGGAUAUUAUGGUUUUUUCGCAUGGAGGAAUCAUGAAAGCUAGAUGCGCUAAGAGAGAGCUUUGCGUCCCAUUAGCUGGUUGGUGAGGUAACGGCCCACCAAGGCAAUGAUGGGUAGCCGGCCUGAGAGGGUGAACGGCCACAAGGGGACUGAGACACGGCCCUUACUCCUACGGGAGGCAGCAGUGGGGAAUAUUGGACAAUGGACCGCAAGUCUGAUCCAGCAAUUCUGUGUGCACGAUGACGUUUUUCGGAAUGUAAAGUGCUUUCAGUCGGGAAGAAGUCAGUGACGGUACCGACAGAAGAAGCGACGGCUAAAUACGUGCCAGCAGCCGCGGUAAUACGUAUGUCGCAAGCGUUAUCCGGAUUUAUUGGGCGUAAAGCGCGUCUAGGCGGCAAGGAAAGUCUGAUGUGAAAAUGCGGAGCUCAACUCCGUAUGGCGUUGGAAACUGCCUUACUAGAGUACUGGAGAGGUAGGCGGAACUACAAGUGUAGAGGUGAAAUUCGUAGAUAUUUGUAGGAAUGCCGAUGGGGAAGCCAGCCUACUGGACAGAUACUGACGCUAAAGCGCGAAAGCGUGGGUAGCAAACAGG
rnacentral:rRNA from 1 species